GCUGAGGAUGGAAGCAUGAAAUGAACGUCUUCCUUCUAGAAAUUUUACCGUUGAUUUCAUCGUGUUUAGACCUGGAUUUCGUGAAUUGAAUCUGUGCUUAAAGGUGAAGUAAGUUCGUAAAGGAGCAGCAUUGAUUGGCUUAGCCACCACGUUUUUGAUCUCGGUUAGUCGAAUACACAGAUUUGGGACCGAGGGUGCUACACGAAGAAGGCAGUCCUUUGCAAUCGAUAUCACAGCCUGGAUGUCUUAAAUCCAGAGUAUAUCAGGUGCUAGUGAUUUACCAGGAUGCUGCCACUAGUCGCAGAAUCACUUUGGGAAAGAAAGAAAUAUCAUUAUUCUGUGUUACUGUAAUAAAAGGCAUCCAGUAC